GACAGAGGUCCCGAGCGUUAGGCGGAAUCACUGGGCUUAAAGCGUGUGUAGGCGGAUGCCUAAGUACCUUGUGAAAUCCCACGGCUCAACCGUGGAACUGCUUGGUAUACUGGGCGUCUUGAGCCACUUAGGGGCAACCGGAACAAAUGGUGGAGCGGUGAAAUGCGUAGAUAUCAUUUGGAACGCCAAUGGUGAAAACAGGUCGCUGGGAGUGCGCUGACGCUGAGACACGAAAGCUAGGGGAGCAAACGGG
rnacentral:rRNA from 1 species